AACGUAGGUACCGAGCGUUAUCCGGAUUUACUGGGCGUAAAGCGCGUUCAGGCGGUCGGGCAAGUCGGGCAUGAAAUCUCUCGGCUCAACCGGGAGGCGUUGUCCGAUACUGCCGGGCUCGAGGGCAGUAGAGGGUGGUGGAAUUCCGGGUGUAGUGGUGAAAUGCGUAGAGAUCCGGAGGAACACCAGUGGCGAAAGCGGCCACCUGGACUGCACCUGACGCUCAAACGCGAAAGCUAGGGGAGCGAACGGG
rnacentral:rRNA from 1 species